rnacentral:rRNA from 1 species
GACAGAGGGUGCAAACGUUGCUCGGAAUCACUGGGCGUAAAGGGCGUGUAGGCGGGAAUGUAAGUCGGGCGUGAAAUCCCUAGGCUCAACCUAGGAACUGCACUCGAAACUGCGUUUCUUGAGUACUGGAGAGGAAAGCGGAAUACCUGGUGUAGAGGUGAAAUUCGAUAGAUAUCAGGUGGAACACCAGCGGCGAAGGGCGGACUUUCUGGACAGUAACG